AACGAACGCUGGCGGCAGGCCUAACACAUGCAAGUCGAGCGCGCCCUUCGGGGUGAGCGUCGGACGGGUGAGUAACGCGUGGGAACGUGCCCUUUUCUACGGAAUAGCCUCGGGAAACUGAGAGUAAUACCGUAUACGCCCUUUGGGGGAAAGAUUUAUCGGAAAAGGAUCGGCCCGCGUUGGAUUAGGUAGUUGGUGGGGUAAUGGCCUACCAAGCCGACGAUCCAUAGCUGGUUUGAGAGGAUGAUCAGCCACACUGGGACUGAGACACGGCCCAGACUCCUACGGGAGGCAGCAGUGGGGAAUCUUAGACAAUGGGGGCAACCCUGAUCUAGCCAUGCCGCGUGAGUGAUGAAGGCCUUAGGGUUGUAAAGCUCUUUCAGCUGGGAAGAUAAUGACGGUACCAGCAGAAGAAGCCCCGGCUAACUCCGUG
rnacentral:rRNA from 1 species